rnacentral:rRNA from 1 species
GCAAGUCGAACGGUAACAGAAGAAGCUUGCUUCUUGCUGACGAGUGGCGGUCGUGUGCGUAACGCGUUGGAAUCUACCUUUUAGUGGGGGAUAGCCCGGUGGAAACCGGAUUAAUACCGCAUACUACUCUACGGAGGAAAAGGGGCCUCUCCUUGGAAGCUCUUGCUAUUAGAUGAGCCCGCGUAAGAUUAGAUAGUUGGUGGGGUAAUGGCCUACCAAGUCGACGAUAUUUAGCUGGUUUGAGAGGAUGAUC